rnacentral:rRNA from 1 species
AGAGUUUGAUCAUGGCUCAGAUUGAACGCUGGCGGCAUGCCUAACACAUGCAAGUCGAACGGUAACAGGCCGCAAGGUGCUGACGAGUGGCGGACGGGUGAGUAAUACGUAGGUAUCUGCCCUAUAGUGGGGGAUAACCCGGGGAAACCCGGGCUAAUACCGCAUACGCUCUUUUAUCGUUGAGAUAGGAGAGGAAAGCGAGGGACCGAAAGGCCUCGUGCUAGAGGAUGAGCCUACGUCCGAUUAGCUAGUUGGUAGGGUAAAGGCCUACCAAGGCGACGAUCGGUAGCUGGUCUGAGAGGAUGGCCAGCCACACUGGGACUGAGACACGGCCCAGACUCCUACGGGAGGCAGCAGUGGGGAAUAUUGGACAAUGGGGGAAACCCUGAUCCAGCGAUGCCGCGUGGGUGAAGAAGGCCUGCGGGUUGUAAAGCCCUUUCAGUGGGGAAGAAAGAUGGGGUGUGAACAGUGCUUCGUCUUGACGUUACCCACAGAAGAAGCACCGGCUAACUCCGUGCCAGCAGCCGCGGUAAUACGGAGGGUGUGAGCGUUAAUCGGAAUUACUGGGCGUAAAGGGCGCGUAGGCGGUUGGGUAAGUCGGGUGUGAAAGCCCUGGGCUUAACCUGGGAAUGGCAUUCGAGACUACCUAGCUAGAGUCUGGUAGAGGGAAGUGGAAUUUCCGGUGUAGCGGUGAAAUGUGUAGAUAUCGGAAGGAACACCAGUGGCGAAGGCGACUUCCUGGACCAAGACUGACGCUGAGGCGCGAAAGCGUGGGGAUCAAACAGGAUUAGAUACCCCCGUAGUCC